AUGCCGGCAGUUAGCUCUCUGCAGCUCUCACAUGGUCGCUGAAGCCAAGCAGGGCUGCGCCAGGUCAGUACCUAGAUUGGAGACCACAUGGGAAAGCUAGGUUGCUGGUGGU
rnacentral:rRNA from 1 species